UGGUAGUCAUGGAUUGCACAAAAGAAGAAGGUUACAAGAAUUUGCGGUUGCGGGCAUGGAGUGACACAAAACCAAUAGUGGACAUUAAUUGUAUACUACGCUAAAGUGAUAGGAAACCGAUCUUCACUAGCAGAGCAAUUAGCAUGUCUGACGUGUGAAAAUGCUAUAUUGGAACCAUUACAUGCUUCCCUAGUUGUAUCAAUAAUUAUAAUUGGAGAGAAUCAUUGACAGGGCCUUUAUCGAAAAGUGAUGGAUAUUGAAACCAAACUUUUUUUUGUGUAAGUGCUACCCUAUUUAUAGAUAGAAGUGAUAUAAUUGCUCUUAUAACGAGACUUGGUACUUAAUAUUUGUUUAUUCCCUUCUCUUAUAUUUGUCUCCCAUCACUUUAUUAUUAACUUGGA